ACUGGGCGUUGUGGCGGGCGCCUGUAACACCAGCGACUGGUGGGUAGCAGACGGCGGAUGCAGUACGGGACGGGGUCCUACAGUCAGUGUGGCAUCGUAGAUCGAGCGUCCGGAGCAAGCGCGGCGUCAACAAGCUGUCGCGUCAGGAGUAGCGCGGCAGCUGGUUGCUCAAAGAGGGAUGGACGGUUCAGGGCCGGAAGGCAGCAGACAAAAGUCCCCGCGUCGCGACAGUGCUCGGAUAGCGCUUGUGAGUUGUUCGCUGGCCGUAGCCGUUCUGUCAACUACAGACCCGUCUGCGU
rnacentral:SRP_RNA from 1 species